CGCGGAGUAGAGCAGAGGUAGCUCAUCGGGCUCAUAACCCGAGGGUCACAGGUUCGAGUCCUGUCUCCGCUA
rnacentral:tRNA from 1 species